AUGGAUUCUGCUAAGGAGAUUCUCCGGAGGGUCCAUUCAAAGAAGAAACCGUGUGUGGAUGGCGAAUCACACCAGCAUUCCCCGACGUCGAUGUCUGCCGCGGUAUCCAAGGUGCUCGAAGACGACGACCUCCUCAGGGAGAUUAUUGUCCGUGUCGGCUUCCCCACCACCCUCGUGCGUGCUUCCCUCGUCUGCAAGCGCUGGUACCACCACAUCUCUGACCGCCGGUUCCUCCGCCGCUUCCGCGAGCGCCAUCCGCCCCGCCUCCUUGGCUUUUGCCAUGUCCCCGAAGAUGAGUGUUCACAGUCGUCCUGCCACGCUUCGUCCCGAUUUUGCCUCUGCCCCCAGAGCUCGCUGCCGUGGUCAGCCGCGUGGCGAGCUACAGCUUUGGCGUCGACGGCGACGAAUGGAUCAGGGAGUGCCGGCGCGGCAGUGUCUUGA
rnacentral:rRNA from 1 species